UGACGCAAAGGUAACCGCGCUAAGUGCUCGAUGAAUUCAAUACAUUUUCAAAGCUUUAUUGUUUGUGUUUUUUCCCUUUUAAAAGGAAGCAGCAUUGGGAUUUUCAACAACUGAUUGGAGAAAACAGCACUAACAGAGAAGGUUCUUAAUAAUGGAAGCUCCUGCCACCCCUCCCUUCAGCUGUCAGGGCCGGCGCUGCCAUGUGGCGUGUUGGAUGAACUCUGAGCCUUCUGGUUGUAACACCUGGUUUGUUUCUGCUCCUGAUGCAAGACAGUUGUAAAUUCAACUUGUUCCAGUUAAGCCAUCAACACCAAGAUCUACGAUAUUGGCUGUUGUGUGCCAUAGAUGUAAAACUACAGAAUAGCUCUGAUGCUGUGAAAAAAAGGAAAAGAAAAAGG